UGUAAUUUGUUCUUCACUGAUCCCUUCCAAUGCUUGUGAUGCUUCUGUAGCACUUAAGAGAAUUCAUACCAUAAUAUGAUUUAUAUAAGCCAAAUGCUAUGAUUCUUAUUACUUUUUUUCUCCUCAUCUAUGUGUACUAACUUCAUUUCUCAUGUGCAUGCUGGCUAAAUAGACUACCUGUUUUGCUUUCAGAUUUGUUCUCUACCAAUGCCCUACACUGCUAACAGGAAACUGCCUUCUGGAUUUGUGGGAAGUUCACCAGCAGGAAGCGCCAGUGGAAAUUGGGAGGGUGGCUAUAGCUGAUUUCCACUGUUCUUCAGUUAGUUUCCUGGCUGCUCACAAAGAUUUUCCUGCAUGCCACUGCUCUCCAGGAAUCUACCAACAUUCACGUAGACUUCUCAAUGAAUGGCACGGAAAGUUUCUUCUUAAGUUACUUCAGGCCAUCUGGAUGUAUACGUGCAAGUCACAGGGGAUGUGAUGGCUUGGCUUGGGAUCAGAGACCUGACAGUUAUCAUCCUUGUGGCAUCUUCAAAUUCAGAGAAUCCUUCUGGAUUUUUGGACUUUUUUCUCCCUCAACGUGGAUUAAAUGUUGGACUUUUCUCACUCAACUUGGAUUGAAUGUUGUCAUAGAGAUCUAACAGCAAGUGAACUAAUGCUGAUUCAAAGACACCAAGAGAGGGGGCGAAAUGGAAGGUGUGAAAUCACAGAAACCAAGGGAAUGAAAAACUGCAAAUAAAUAAGCCAUCACUUGAUAUCCUGCUACAUCUCCAGGAAUAAAAAGCUGGAAAUAAAUAAGCCAGCCAAGAAGAUUGAUACAUGACUGGAGCCUGAAUGGUAGAACUUUUUCAGAAGUGAGGAGUCUGUUGGCCCAGAAGAUCUGCGGUAAGAUCUGCCUCAACAUACCUUACUCAUUUUUUUCAAAGAGACUCUAGAGUCUAAAAUGAACAACCAAUCAAUUCUACAAACAUUGCAUCAUGAGGAGUUGCUGCACCUCUUCUCCAGGAUUUGCAAAACGUGUAGUCCAAAUCGAGUUCGGCUAGAACUGGUCUGUCAUCAAGAUAUGGCUCAUGAAAGAGAUUGGUGUUUAGGAGGCUGGGAAAAGGAAAUAUUUUGAGAGACUUCAUGUGCUCCGCACAUGGAGGUGGCUUCCUUUUGCCUCAGGUGAAGGGAGCUUCAACAAGAUCACUCAGAGUUUGAUCAAUGAUCUUAGAAUUUGCAGAACAUAGGGACUGCCAUUUGACUCACCCUUUAGAAGUCAGGAGGAAAGGUUACGUGGCUGGCACUUCUCAUGUCUGGGAAGGAACAACUGUGAAGUGCUGACCUAGACGAAUGUUGCACUUCCGCUGAUGAGUAGGCAAUGGCGAAUGUUUUCCAGGGUCCAAAUGUGGACCCGGCAACAGAGAGGCUGUCUGUAAUCACUUUAUAAGAGACACUAACAACAAUGACCACUGGGACUAAAGAGAGCACAACGGAAGUAGUUCUGCCAGAAGGGCUGAGGAGAGGGCUGAGCAACCACCCUCAGGGGAGGCAGACCCACAUCAAAGACAUCUCAGCAGUCCCUUUCCCAUGAAAGAAAGAGCUAGAAAUUGUCCAUUUGACACACACACAAACCAGAUCCCAGAUUGCAAUUGAUUCAGAUAAUGAAAAGCUUGUUCUUUUCACUUGCUGUUCUAGCCUAACCAUGUAGGUGUCAGAAGCAGUUGUAGGCUAGGAGAGAAGUCGGAGCAAUACAGAAGCCAGUUCUGCCUUUGCCUCAAGAUCCACUGUCCACUCAGAGGCAGGCUGGCACAUGGGGGAUGAGAACAUUCCAAGAAAGAUGUGAAUCUGGAAUUUUCAUUUAUGCAGUAGAUGGGGAUUUACUACUGAAAGGAACAUGUUUUGGCAACUAAUAGUGACCAAAAGAAUUUGUACUUACUAAAAAUUAUCUUAAAAGCAUGGGAUUACCCUAGCAUUUUGUUUCAGAAACUGAAAUUAACAGAAAACUAUAAAAUUACUUUCUGCCUGAAACCUAAGAAGGUGAACUCAUGCCAGAAACCAGUUACAUUCACAAUUACCUGGAUUUUGUUAUUUCCUACAAUGAAUAAAACUUAUUAUAAAGCAGAA